CUCACCGAGGUGAACCUGCGGAAGGAUCAUUG
rnacentral:rRNA from 1 species